rnacentral:rRNA from 1 species
GACGAACGCUGGCGGCGUGCCUAAUACAUGCAAGUAGAACGCUGAAGAGAGGAGCUUGCUCUUCUUGGAUGAGUUGCGAACGGGUGAGUAACGCGUAGGUAACCUGCCUUGUAGCGGGGGAUAACUAUUGGAAACGAUAGCUAAUACCGCAUAACAAUGGAUGACACAUGUCAUUUAUUUGAAAGGGGCAAUUGCUCCACUACAAGAUGGACCUGCGUUGUAUUAGCUAGUAGGUGAAGUAAUGGCUCACCUAGGCGACGAUACAUAGCCGACCUGAGAGGGUGAACGGCCACACUGGGACUGAGACACGGCCCAGGCUCCUACGGGAGGCAGCAGUAGGGAAUCUUCGGCAAUGGGGGCAACCCUGACCGAGCAAAGCCGCGUGAGUGAAGAAGGUUUUCGGAUCGUAAAGCUCUGUUGUAAGUGAAGAACGGGUGUGGGAGUGGAAAGUUCACACUGUGACGGUAGCUUACCAGAAAGGGACGGCUAACUACGUG